rnacentral:rRNA from 1 species
ACGGUGAAAUGCGUAGAUAUUAGGAGGAACACCAGUGGCGAAGGCGAUCUACUGGACGAUAACUGACGCUGAGGCGCGAAAGCGUGGGGAGCAAACAGGAUUAGAUACCCUGGUAGUCCACGCUGUAAACGAUGAAUACUAGGUGUGGGGGGACUGACCCCCUCCGUGCCGCAGUUAACACAAUAAGUAUUCCACCUGGGGAGUACGACCGCAAGGUUGAAACUCAAAGGAAUUGACGGGGGCCCGCACAAGCAGUGGAUUAUGUGGUUUAAUUCGAAGCAACGCGAAGAACCUUACCAGGGCUUGACAUCCAACUAACGAAGCAGAGAUGCGUUAGGUGCCCUUCGGGGAAAGUUGAGACAGGUGGUGCAUGGUUGUCGUCAGCUCGUGUCGUGAGAUGUUGGGUUAAGUCCCGCAACGAGCGCAACCCUUAUUGCUAGUUGCUACGCAAGAGCACUCUAGCGAGACUGCCGUUGACAAAACGGAGGAAGGUGGGGAUGACGUCAAAUCAUCAUGCCCCUUAUGUCCUGGGCUACACACGUAAUACAAUGGCGUCCAACAAAGGGAUGCGAAGCAGUGAGGUGGAGCAAAUCCCC